GAUGAACGCUGGCGGCGUGCCUAAUACAUGCAAGUCGAGCGAACAGACGAGGAGCUUGCUCCUCUGACGUUAGCGGCGGACGGGUGAGUAACACGUGGAUAACCUACCUAUAAGACUGGGAUAACUUCGGGAAACCGGAGCUAAUACCGGAUAAUAUAUUGAACCGCAUGGUUCAAUAGUGAAAGACGGUUUUGCUGUCACUUAUAGAUGGAUCCGCGCCGCAUUAGCUAGUUGGUAAGGUAACGGCUUACCAAGGCAACGAUGCGUAGCCGACCUGAGAGGGUGAUCGGCCACACUGGAACUGAGACACGGUCCAGACUCCUACGGGAGGCAGCAGGAGGGAAUCUUCCGCAAUGGGCGAAAGCUUGACGGAGCAACGCCGCGUGAGUGAUGAAGGUCUUCGGUUCGUAAAACCCUGUUAUUAGGGAAGAACAAAUGUGUAAGUAACUAUGCACGUCUUGACGGUACCUAAUCAGAAGACCACGGCUAACUACGU
rnacentral:rRNA from 1 species